rnacentral:tRNA from 2 species
AAAAAGAUAAGCUAAGGAAGCUACUGGGUUCAUACCCCAUUUAUAGAGAUUACUCUUCUUUUUA